rnacentral:siRNA from 1 species
CGGGAUGAACCGGAAGCCGGGUU